rnacentral:rRNA from 1 species
CACACGAGGGUUUUACUGUCUCUUACUUCCAAUCAGUGAAAUUGACCUUCCCGUGAAGAGGCGGGAAUAUAAUAAUAAGACGAGAAGACCCUAUGGAGCUUUAACUUCUUAGCCCAAAGAAACAAAAUUUAUUUCCAAGGAAACAACAACAUUCUUUAUGGGUUAACAGCUUUGGUUGGGGUGACCUCGGAGAAUAAAAAAUCCUCCGAGCGAUUUUAAAGACCAGACCCACAAGUCAAAUCACAUAAUCGCUUAUUGAUCCAAAAAAUUGAUCAACGGAACAAGUUACCCUAGGGAUAACAGCGCAAUCCUAUUCAAGA